UUACAAGUAAAUCCCUUCCAGAAAGGAGACCUCUCACGAGGCACUUCACCGCCAUGUGUAGUGGAGUAUCGUUACGAGUAUGGAAGGUAUUGUAA
rnacentral:sRNA from 12 species